AUGGCUGCCCCUCCUAGUCCUCGGCCUCCUGUCAUGGUGCUUCCCUUCCCUGCACAGGGCCAUGUCAUGCCCCUCAUGGAGCUCUCCCACCGGCUCGUCGCCCACGGCCUCGAGGUGGACUUCGUGAACACGCACUACAACCACGACCGCGCCCUCAAGGCCAUGGCCGCCGAGAGAGGAGCCGUUGACCCCGACGGCAUCCACAUGGUCUCGCUCCCGGACGGCAUGGGCCCCGACGGCGACCGCACCGACAUCGCCUUGCUGGGCAGCGGCUUGCCGGCGGCCAUGCUCGGACCCCUCGAGGAGAUGAUCAGGUCCAAGAAGAUCAAGUGGGUGAUCGCCGAUGCGUCCAUGUGCUGGGCGAUGGAGCUGGCCGCCACGGCCGGCGUCCGCGUCGCCCUGUUCUCGACUUUCUCGGCCGCCGUGUUCGCGCUCCGGCUGCACGUGCCCAAGCUGAUCGACGAUGGCGUCCUCGACGAGUCUGGGAACGUGAAGAGGAACGAGACGAUCCAGCUGAGCCCCAAGAUGCCGCCGAUCGAGGCUGCCGAGCUACCAUGGGUCUGUGUGAGCAGCUUGCCGGAGAGACGCAGGUUGAUGAUUCAGAUCUUGCUCAAGACCAACCCGGUGAUACCGCUGGCCGCCAUCGUCAUCUGCAACACGUUCGAGGGGAUCGAGUCGGAGGCGCUGGAUCUCGUCCCCAACGCGCUGCCCGUCGGCCCCCUGGAAGCGCCGGCGGCGUCGAGGUCAGCCGGCCAACUCUGGCCACAGGACCUUGUCUGCCUCCCCUGGCUCGACGCGCAGGCUCGCGGCUCGGUCAUCUACGUAGCGUUCGGGAGCUUCACCGUCUUCGACGCGGCGCGGAUCCAGGAGCUCGCCGACGGGCUCGAGCUCACGGGCCGGCCUUUCCUUUGGGCGGUCCGGCCGAACAUCACCGCCGGAAUCGGAGAAGAUUGGUUCGACGCGUUCAAGCGCCGCGUGGAGGGGAAGGGGCUGGUGGUGGGCUGGGCGCCGCAGCAGCGCGUGCUCUCGCACCCCGCCGUCGCCUGCUUCGUGUCCCACUGCGGGUGGAACUCGACCAUGGAAGGCAUGCUGCACGGGGUGCCUUUCCUCUGCUGGCCCUACUUUGCCGACCAGUUCGCCAACCAGAGCUACAUCUGCAACGUGUGGGGCACCGGCGCCAAGGUCCACGCCGACGAGAGAGGGGUGGUCACCAAGGAGGAGAUCAAGAACAAGGUCGAGCUGCUGCUGGGUGACGAUGGGAUAAAGGCAAGGGCGGCUACGUGGAAGGACGCGGCGUCUGCCAGCAUCGCACAGGGAGGCUCGUCAGAUCAGAACCUGCUCAAGCUUGUGAAAUUUCUAACACAACAAUAG
rnacentral:rRNA from 1 species